CCAUUAAAAUUAUUGAUUUUGAGUCCCUUCGAUCACUAGGCAAAUGAUAUCGAAAAAUUAUAAAAUUUAUUUUCUAGGUACUUCAAAUACUCUAGAUCAAGUUUAACGGAGCCGAUCGACGAUUCGAAAGUUCAAACAUCGAAAACAACUUGGAAGCACGGAGGGCUCCGUGCUUCCGAAGCAUGCCAGCCCACUCUCUCUCUCUCUCUCUCUCUCUCUCUAUAUAUAUAUAUAUAAAAUUAAAAAUAUAAAAUAAAAAAUAAAUCUCCAUUCUAGAUAAAUAAUUAUAGAAAAAAAUCUAUUGCAUAAAUCAGGAAUGUUAAUUUGAGCAUGUGUGUUGAUUAUAGUUAUGUUGAUUGUAGUUUUAUUUGUAAGUUGAUUGUAAUUUUGGGAAUUGGUAUUUUAUAAUGGUAAUUUGUCACACCCCAAUAAUCCCACAUCGAAUAUGAAUGGGGAUGUGAUUGGAUAUAUAAGAGACUUAGACACUAGCAAUAAUAACUGGGGUUAAGCAUUUUGAGCUGUAGUUGGGCCCAACGAGUUAUUAUUGCUAGUGGGCUGGGUCGUUACAUUUGGUAUCAGAGCCGGCUCACCAGCUGGACAUGUGUAGCGAGUCUCGGCUGAGCCAGGGUCUGGAUGAC
rnacentral:lncRNA from 1 species